GUGAACGCUGGCCGUAGGCCUAACACAUGCAAGUCGAACGGCAGCACAGUAAGAGCUUGCUCUUACGGGUGGCGAGUGGCGGACGGGGGAGGAAUACAUCGGAAUCUACUUUUUCGUGGGGGAUAACGGAGGGAAACUUACGCUAAUACCGCAUACGACCUACGGGUGAAAGCAGGGGAUCUUUGGACCUUGGGCGGUUUAAUUGGCCGAUGUCGGAUUAGCUAGUUGGCGGGGUAAAGGCCCACCAAGGCGACGAUCCGUAGCUGGUCUGAGAGGAUGAUCAGCCACACUGGAACUGAGACACGGUCCAGACUCCUACGGGAGGCAGCAGUGGGGAAUAUUGGACAAUGGGCGCAAGCCUGAUCCAGCCAUACCGCGUGGGUGAAGAAGGCCUUCGGGUUGUAAAGCCCUUUUGUUGGGAAAGAAAAGCAGCAGGUUAAUACCCCGCUGUUCUGACGGUACCCAAAGAAUAAGCACCGGCUAACUUCGUG
rnacentral:rRNA from 1 species